rnacentral:rRNA from 1 species
GGACGAACGCUGGCGGCGUGCCUAAUACAUGCAAGUUGAGCGAUGAAGAUUGGUGCUUGCACCAAUUUGAAGAGCAGCGAACGGGUGAGUAACGCGUGGGGAAUCUGCCUUUGAGCGGGGGACAACAUUUGGAAACGAAUGCUAAUACCGCAUAACAACUUUAAACAUAAGUUUUAAGUUUGAAAGAUGCAAUUGCAUCACUCAAAGAUGAUCCCGCGUUGUAUUAGCUAGUUGGUGAGGUAAAGGCUCACCAAGGCGAUGAUACAUAGCCGACCUGAGAGGGUGAUCGGCCACAUUGGGACUGAGACACGGCCCAAACUCCUACGGGAGGCAGCAGUAGGGAAGCUUCGGCAAUGGACGAAAGUCUGACCGAGCAACGCCGCGUGAGUGAAGAAGGGUUUCGGAUCGUAAAACUCUGUUGGUAGAGAAGAACGUUGGUGAGAGUGGAAAGCUCAUCAAGUGACGGUAACUACCCAGAAAGGGACGGCUAACUACGUG